rnacentral:tRNA from 1 species
GCCGAAGUGGCGGAACUGGCAGACGCGCUACGUUCAGGGCGUAGUUCUCUUCGGGGAGUGUGGGUUCGACUCCCACCUUCGGCACCA